rnacentral:piRNA from 1 species
UAAGUAUUUCAAAACAACUUGAUGAGCAU